UAUAACAACAUGUUUUACUUUUGCAUUUCCGAUUGACAACGUAACCUGUUCAAACUUGUAAGUAUGUAACUAAAUAGAGUUUUAUUAAACAUGUUAAAGUAGAUUGAUGGUAAACCGCCAUCUUGGAUUGUGCAGUCGUAGUACACAACCAGUCUAGUUAUUUGCCCUAAUCUGCAAAUUUGUAGACAUAUGUGCAAGUGUUUGGGUUAAUCUUUUUUUCAUAAUAAGAAAACUUGCUGAUUAAUUGCACAUAUAUAUGACUAGUGGUUGUUUUGUGUCUUUUGAAUGUUUUCGUGUUACGUUUACCUAUAAACUCCUUUUAAUCUUUGUAAACUUACAAAAGUUGUGUGAUCGUAAUAGAUGCAACUAUCUGGAAAGACUAAUAGAUCUUUCAACAAGCAUAACCAUGGUAACUAAUAUUUUAUAAAAUUAAAAUAAUUGUAUAGUCAGCUUAAAAAUUUACCCGAAAUUAAAACAUGAAACAAUGCAUACAAAAAAAAACCCGAACGGUCUGAUUAUUGCAAGAUUUGACGACAAAACAAUUUUGACAGACAACAACCAAUGACAAUAUCUAGAAUACUGUAUCAUAUAUGUCUAUAGCUGAACAGUACAUUGUUCUUUGUGUUAUGCUGUUAUUAUACAUUUUAACUAUUAAAAAACGAACCAUUUAUACAAAAAACUACACAUUAUUCUUAUCUACUAAGAAGCACCAUCUUCAAGAAAGAAACCUGCAAUUUGUUGUAUGUCUUAUUUGUUUGCUUUGUUUUUGUAUGUGUUUGGUGUGUGCAAUGUCUACUUUGCAAUAUUCUGAUCAUGAAAAACAAGAUUAACAGUACCAAUAAUUUUGAACCAAAUGCACAUUUCGACAAUAAAUAUCAAUUCAGUCAUGCCCGAGGACAAACAAAUAUUUUGAUGAUUCAAAACUUAUUUGAACAAUAAAAAGCUUAUCAAUCAAAAUGGACAAAAAGUAUAGCCGGAAAAAAAAUGUAUAACAAAAUUGCUUAACGCAAAGCCGAACAAGGCAUCAGAGAAUUACAGGAGGGAAAUAUUGUUAAAUUUAUGAUCAAUUCCUAAAUGUUGUAACAGCUAAUUUUAAUCCGUAUGUUCAUGCCAGUACUUCGGUACUGCUAGCUACCGACUGGGACAGUAAGGUGAACAGCAGAAGUAUCGACCAUGUGGUAACGAUCAUAUCGUAGGAGAAUAUAAGGAAUGUCAAACUUAAAAUAUUUACAUUACAAACUUAUAUUUCGUGAUAUGCAUACGAACCGUUAGAAUCGCAAUGCUUCAAUUGUGUAUAUGCCAAGAUAUUUUGACUUGUUCUCUUUAUUGUUUAACAUGUGCACUGACAUCUCUCUGCACACCGAGCGGAAUAUAACACGAUAACAAUAACAAAAAACUGUAACUGAAAUAUCUGGGUUUGUCUGUUUUACCAACACAUGGACAAAAACCACAUUAGCGUGAUUUUUUCUUUCUUUUUCAGUUAAACAUAACCUUCGGAAGCAUGACCCGUCAAAUAUUGAUAUUCAUUAUGAUUUCCUGUUUGAUAAUUGUGUCACUUGGAUUUAUCAAAGUGAAAGACGAUACAUCGUGUAUGUGUGGUAGUGCGGCGUUUGCCUGUCGUAGAGGAUUUGGUGGAGAUAUAAGCAUUAGAAUAAACCAGAACAUGCAGAAUGUUUGUUACAGAAAUUGUGCAACUGCUGAAAUGAUUUGUUACAAUGGAUGUCCCUGACCUGUAAUCUCACAUAUUACUUCUCUUUCAACACCAUUAUAUAGUAUAGUUUAUUCGUAGACAUACAUUAUUUCCAGCAUUAUAACUUUGAAUCGAUUUGUAGGAUUUUUACGCUUUUUAUCUGAACUAUGCUUCCAAAAUUUGAUAAAAAUAUAUAUAGGUAAACAAGUACCUUUGAAUUAAUAUAUGCAUGACGUGUAUGCUUAUUUUUCCUUUAAAGUCCGGCAGACAACUAAAAACUUUUUAAAGUAUGAACAAAUAUGAAAUAACUGACCUUGAGACUUUUGAUUUAAACCUUGCAACGAAUUGGAUAUUCAUUCAAUUACUCAAAUACUGGCUUUGGUAGUCCAUGAGUUAGAGAUUCAAUAUAUUUUCUGAAGUAUUAAGCCCGUCUCUUCUCCACACCACAAUGAUUUGUAUCAUCGAUUUUUUUGCAAACAAUAACUUGGAGUAUACGUAAUGUAGUCAUACAAAGCCAAGUGUGGGAAUAGUACGUUCAUCUAUUGAUUUGCUUUUUGUUUUGUCGCUUUAAUUGCAAAACCUCAACAUUGUUUUUGUUCUACGGAAUGUCAUCAUAUUUUCCACCUUGUCCGUGAAUUUAAUUUGUUUAUUUUAAUGUCAAACUUGUGAAUGCUUAUUUUUUUACGUUUAAAAUUGCAUCAGGUCUUUGUCUAACCGAUACAACCAGCUUCAACCCAUCAUGCAUUAUUUAAAUGUCCUGUAACAAGUCUGAAAUUAGCAAUGUUAUUAAACAGUCCGAACUAUUUAUGAAAGCGU
rnacentral:lncRNA from 1 species